UGGGCCCGGCGCUGCGAGGACGCGGCGGGAGGGGGCGCAACGCGGAACAGCCGCCUCCCCGGGCCCCGCCGCCGCUCACCCUCCAGGGCCUCGAAAAUCGUCUGCGCCAUCUUGGAGCUGCCGCCGUCUCGGGAGCUGAUGCGGGGCUACGUGUGACGCUGGUUCCAAAGAAGUACACUUGGACCACAAGGAAGAGUCGAGGAGUGUGUGGAGGGGAGAGGCAACCAGAGAGAAAUAGGUUGUGGUUCCGGUUCCGUCGCGGAGACACGUGAAGGUCGGUGAGUUGGAGCACAGUUCGUCUAG
rnacentral:lncRNA from 1 species